GGGGAUAUAGCUCAGUUGGUAGAGUGCUUGCCUCACAUGUACAAGGUUCUGGGUUCAAUCCCCAGCACCA
rnacentral:tRNA from 1 species